rnacentral:rRNA from 1 species
GACGAACGUUGGCGGCGUGCUUAACACAUGCAAGUCGAACGGAAAGGCCCUGCUUUUGUGGGGUGCUCGAGUGGCGAACGGGUGAGUAACACGUGAGUAACCUGCCCUUGACUUUGGGAUAACUUCAGGAAACUGGGGCUAAUACCGGAUAGGAGCUCCUGCUGCAUGGUGGGGGUUGGAAAGUUUCGGCGGUUGGGGAUGGACUCGCGGCUUAUCAGCUUGUUGGUGGGGUAGUGGCUUACCAAGGCUUUGACGGGUAGCCGGCCUGAGAGGGUGACCGGCCACAUUGGGACUGAGAUACGGCCCAGACUCCUACGGGAGGCAGCAGUGGGGAAUAUUGCACAAUGGGCGGAAGCCUGAUGCAGCAACGCCGCGUGCGGGAUGACGGCCUUCGGGUUGUAAACCGCUUUCGCCUGUGACGAAGCGUGAGUGACGGUAAUGGGUAAAGAAGCACCGGCUAACCACGUGCCAGCAGCCGCGGUGAUACGUAGGGUGCGAGCGUUGUCCGGAUUUAUUGGGCGUAAAGGGCUCGUAGGUGGUUGAUCGCGUCGGAAGUGUAAUCUUGGGGCUUAACCCUGAGCGUGCUUUCGAUACGGGUUGACUUGAGGAAGGUAGGGGAGAAUGGAAUUCCUGGUGGAGCGGUGGAAUGCGCAGAUAUCAGGAGGAACACCAGUGGCGAAGGCGGUUCUCUGGGCCUUUCCUGACGCUGAGGAGCGAAAGCGUGGGGAGCGAACAGGCUUAGAUACCCUGGUAGUCCACGCCGUAAACGGUGGGUACUAGGUGUGGGGUCCAUUCCACGGGUUCCGUGCCGUAGCUAACGCUUUAAGUACCCCGCCUGGGGAGUACGGCCGCAAGGCUAAAACUCAAAGGAAUUGACGGGGCCCCGCACAAGCGGCGGAGCAUGCGGAUUAAUUCGAUGCAACGCGUAGAACCUUACCUGGGUUUGACAUGGAUCGGGAGUGCUCAGAGAUGGGUGUGCCUCUUUUGGGGUCGGUUCACAGGUGGUGCAUGCCUGUCGUCAGCUCGUGUCGUGAGAUGUUGGGUUAAGUCCCGCAACGAGCGCAACCCUUGUUCACUGUUGCCAGCACGUUAUGGUGGGGACUCAGUGGAGACCGCCGGGGUCAACUCGGAGGAAGGUGGGGAUGACGUCAAGUCAUCAUGCCCCUUAUGUCCAGGGCUUCACGCAUGCUACAAUGGCUGGUACAGAGAGUGGCGAGCCUGUGAGGGUGAGCGAAUCUCGGAAAGCCGGUCUCAGUUCGGAUUGGGGUCUGCAACUCGACCUCAUGAAGUCGGAGUCGCUAGUAAUCGCAAAUCAGCAACGCUGCGGUGAAUACGUUCCCGGGGCU